UUUUAAGAUGGUACUGAUGGAUCAAAUUUAUGUCAACUCAGCCAAUUGUGAAGAAGGUGGUGUUCUAAACAUCCACCUGCAAGAUCACUUUUUGUUCAGCAAUUGCCUGUAGUUUAGAAUCUGCCACAGCAGGGUGAAAAUAGAGAAGCCUUAGAAAAUAGAAUAACAUCUGAUGAAGAAGAAGAAGCACCAAGAACAUAUAGGACAAUUCCCGUCAUUCGAAUGGACUCAAAAUUAAAGACUGACUAUUGUGGAAAAUCAGUUCUUUGCAGAAUUUCAACAGCGCACCUAUAACCUCAUAAUCAAAGAUGGCACUUCCAAAUCUGAAAGAGAAAACACAACAAGGAUUAUCAGAGAAUCUGUACAACAACUGAGAUGGUAAUUGAUUUUGAAGACGACUGAUCACCGAAAUUAUGACAAUGUUCGACAACAAAUUGGACCUUAUCCUUGAGUAUGUUGAAAAUACUGAUGUCUGUUAUUGUUGAUGUCUGGAGUAAACUAUAUUUGUCACUGACUGAUUUACACACACAUACACAUAUAAUACAUACCUUACACAUCAUUACACUACAUAGCCAACUAGUAUUUGUACGGUAAACUCAACCGCUUCUAGUUGAGCUAUAACACUAUUACACAUAAAACAUACAGGUCGGUUGCUGUAUAAUAUGGUGUGUGUUAAAAUUUCAGUGCCGGGAUACAAGGCCUACCGUUGUCCCCAUGACACAGUUGAAGAAGUCAGCUCACUCUAAUAUCAAAACUAACAGUACAAUAUUGAAAAUGGUGAACGAAAAUUUGCUAUGUUGCACGUGUGUAAGACGGAGACAACACGUGGGGGUACUAUGUACUCUUAAAUAAGGGUGAUUCACAUUUAGAAAGAAUAGCUAAAUUAAAUUCAAAUCUUCAUUGUUCCACAGUAUUAUUUUCUGAGGUAUUAAAACCAGUGUUUUUUUACGAAGCACCAGUACCAAAUUCUAAGAAAAAACUUAUGGCCAAAAGAGAUACAGAAUCAACUAUUACCAGCCAAUAACUUAGUACUAUAUUAUACCACUGUUUUUCCAAACCUAUUAGAAUUUUUAUAUGCAUAUAAAAAGUAUUUUUUAUAAUAAUAUGAAUAAUACAUUAAUAUUUUUGCAACUGUAUUCACUUUAAGAAUGUAUUAUAAUUUAUUCAUUCAAUUAAUACUAUAGUUUCUAGUGGAGCCCAGACGAACAGAAUAAUGUGGACUGUGGAGUGAGUUGGUAUGCUCUCUGUUUAAGAGGACAUGCAUGUGUAUACCUGCAUGUUAUCUCUGUUUUACUAGCGUAUAUCAUACCAAAUUUGUGUUCAGCAGAACAAAUUUUGUGAUGUUAGCUUUAAUAUU